rnacentral:rRNA from 1 species
UACGAAGGGGGCUAGCGUUGUUCGGAAUCACUGGGCGUAAAGGGCGCGUAGGCGGCCGAUUAAGUCGGGGGUGAAAUCCUGGAGCUCAACUCCAGAACUGCCUUUGAUACUGAGGAUCUUGAGUUCGGGAGAGGUGAGUGGAACUGCGAGUGUAGAGGUGAAAUUCGUAGAUAUUCGCAAGAACACCAGUGGCGAAGGCGGCUCACUGGCCCGAUACUGACGCUGAGGCACGAAAGCGUGGGGAGCAAACAGG